UUUGACAGACAGUUUGCCUCUGAAUAUCGUUGUUGUUGUUGGGGCGAUUUCUGUCCGGUUGAAAAUCGCCCAGAUCGCUCUCAUAGACUUUCAUGUUAAGGUAGUUUUUUUCGAGCUGCGGGCGCUGCAAUGUAAUCUCUAUGGCUUCCGGAAGGGCUGCACUUGCGUGUUUACGUCAUGCGCCCAGCAGCAGAGCUACGCUUCUGCCACCUGAAAACGAUUCCGCAGUCCUCCAGCUUGUUGCUCUCAUCAGCUGCUGUUUUAACUAAAAGUACAUUCAGACUGAAAAUUCAACCAUGGUUUUGCAUCGGGAGAUGCAGGGACUUUACCAGUGAAACCACAGAAGAAAGAGGAGGUUGCAUGAAGUGACCAUCAUUGGCCUCUUUGUCAGAGGAGAAGAAGAAGGAAAGAGGAAGAAUGGGAGACCUGCACAUACCCCAUCUUUACUAUGUGAUUAUAAAGCAUGGGAGAACAGUGGAUACUUUUAAUACAGCCCACACCCCUAUUAUUACUGUGUAACUACAGGAUAACAAGUGGAGAACAUUUAAGAUUUUUUACAACUCUCUGCUUCUUUUAUUAGUGUGUAAAGAAUGAAAAUAAAUACUAUGCUCCUCUGUACCACAUUACAUAUUAAAGAAUAGCUAUGUUUGAUCCACCUUCAUAUACAGUAUAUGUGACAUUAUUACAUUGCUGUAGCCUAUCACUUGAGACGGGUCCCUUGGUUGAAAUGCAAGAUUAACUGUAAAUCAUUUUAUUCAUUUGCACACUAUCAGCCCAGUGGCACUGUGCUGUAUUCUGGAUUUGUUGUACCUAAAUAAAAGGUUUGUCACAGCUAAA